rnacentral:rRNA from 1 species
GACGAACGCUGGCGGCGUGCUUAACACAUGCAAGUCGAACGGAAAGGCCCUGCUUUUGUGGGGUGCUCGAGUGGCGAACGGGUGAGUAACACGUGAGUAACCUGCCCUUGACUUUGGGAUAACUUCAGGAAACUGGGGCUAAUACCGGAUAGGAGCUCCUGCUGCAUGGUGGGGGUUGGAAAGUUUCGGCGGUUGGGGAUGGACUCGCGGCUUAUCAGCUUGUUGGUGGGGUAGUGGAUUACCAAGGCUUUGACGGGUAGCCGGCCUGAGAGGGUGACCGGCCACAUUGGGACUGAGAUACGGCCCAGACUCCUAUGCGAGGCAGCAGUGCGGUAUAUUGCACUAUGGGCGGAAGCCUGAUGCAGCAACGCCGCGUGCGGGAUGACGGCCUUAGGGUUGUAAACCGCUUUCGCCUGUGACGAAGCGUGAGUGACGGUAAUGGGUAAAGAAGCACCGGCUAACUACGUG